CCCAGCUGGGCUUCUCCUCUCCUCCCCUCCUACUUUUUGCCCCCCGCUUCCCUCCUUCUCCUCCGCCCCCCGCCCGGCGGCCUCUCCCCCUGGAAAUGAAAUCGACCCUCACCGGGAUCCACGCGUCAGCCGCUGCCACCUCAUUGGUCCCCAAAUCAGUCCAGCGGGGUCCGGCCUGAACCGGGACGAGGGACUCGGGGAGGGGAAACGGAAGCUCCAAGCCAGCAAGAGUGGCGCCACGAUCCUGAGAAACUCAGCACUUAAUCUGGGUUAAUGGCACUGGGGAUGUGUAGCAUGUGUGAGCCUGUCAGUGAAGAUACAUCAUCGAUAAUAUAUUUACUCCAUAGAAUAAUGUGAGCUACCAACACAGAGCACAGUGAAUCUGUAAAGCCGCUGAAAUACCUAGAGGAAGUCUGGAUCCAAACUCUAUUCAGGCAGGCAGUAUGUAAAUUUCAUGACUGGAUUUAACUACAUUUACUGUAACCCAA